rnacentral:rRNA from 1 species
AUUGAACGCUGGCGGCAUGCCUUACACAUGCAAGUCGAACGGCAGCACGGGGCAACCUGGUGGCGAGUGGCGAACGGGUGAGUAAUGCAUCGGAACGUACCUUUCAGUGGGGGAUAACGUAGCGAAAGUUACGCUAACACCGCAUAUUCUGUGAGCAGGAAAGCAGGGGAUCGCAAGACCUUGCGCUGAUUGAGCGGCCGAUGUCAGAUUAGCUAGUUGGUGAGGUAAAGGCUCACCAAGGCGACGAUCUGUAGCGGGUCUGAGAGGAUGAUCCGCCACACUGGAACUGAGGCACGGUCCAGACUCCUACGGGAGGCAGCAGUUGGGAAUUUUGGACAAUGGGGGCAACCCUGAUCCAGCCAUGCCGCGUGAGUGAAGAAGGCCUUCGGGUUGUAAAGCUCUUUCGGCCGGGAAGAAAUCGCACGGGCUAAUACCCUGUGUGGAUGACGGUACCGGAAUAAGAAGCACCGGCUAACUACGUGCCAGCAGCCGCGGUAAAAC